CCGGCGCACGGGUGAGUAACGCGUAUGCAACCUACCUAUCAGAGGGGAAUAACCCGGCGAAAGUCGGACUAAUACCGCAUAAAACAGGGGCACCGCAUGGUGAUAUUUGUUAAAGAAAUUCGCUGAUAGAUGGGCAUGCGUUCCAUUAGGUAGUUGGUGAGGUAACGGCUCACCAAGCCGACGAUGGAUAGGGGAACUGAGAGGUUGGUCCCCCACACUGGUACUGAGACACGGACCAGACUCCUACGGGAGGCAGCAGUGAGGAAUAUUGGUCAAUGGGCGAGAGCCUGAACCAGCCAAGUCGCGUGAAGGAAGAAGGAUCUAUGGUUCGUAAACUUCUUUUGCAGGGGAAUAAAGUGCAGGACGUGUCCUGUUUUGUAUGUACCCUGAGAAUAAGGAUCGGCUAACUCCGUGCCAGCAGCCGCGGUAAUACGGAGGAUCCGAGCGUUAUCCGGAUUUAUUGGGUUUAAAGGGUGCGUAGGUGGUUUGAUAAGUCAGCGGUGAAAGUUUGCA
rnacentral:rRNA from 1 species